CAUAAAGUCCGCAGGCACUUUCGCUUCCUUAUGCACGCGCCUCUGUCCCCGGGUCCUAUCCCCCUCCUACAAGACUUGGUGGGCUAAGAAACCUCUUGAUACAUUCGUAAAGAGAAGCAAUUAUUUGUCUUGCAGUUAGAACCAUGCAUUUCACUGCAAACUGGACCGAGUAUCUGGACCUAUUCUACCUCACGUGUCCCAUCCU